GGCUCUUCUUUUUCUUCCUCCUCUCUCUCUCUCUCUCUCUUUUCCUCCUUCUUUCUCUUCCCGCUCCAGCCAGCAAGACUUUUGGGAGAAGCUUGUAACUUCUGAAGGAGAAGACCUGGAAGCCACCUUAGAGAGGGGAGGCGGUGAUCUCGGUGACCUUCAGCCUUCUGGGUCUCCUGGAGUCCCCGUCCUUUUCCCAACCUGCCCUAGCUGGCUGAAAAGAAUGGGAGAUGGAAUCCAGUUGAUCUGGACAGAGGAGGGCGUAGGACUUGGGUAGAGAUGAUCUUAGGUUGUACAAAAAAAUCUUCAAGGCAACAGACUCUAGAUGACCUUUGGAUGUUUACCAUCAUCUUGUUCUAUCUUUCCCUCUUGGGAGUUUGGGUGUAUGUGUAUAUAUAUAAGUGAAGAAUGGGAGUGAUAAGGAGUUGGGGAUUUUUUUUUUCCCCUUUAACCCUCCUUAACCAGGAAGCAGCCAAAUGGAAAGCUAAUCAAACUCCAACCAAGGAAAAGUGUACUGAUUCAGCGCACUAAUUAAUUAACUGCAUAUAGCUUAGCAGCAUGGGUCUAUCGAUUCUGAUAUGCUUGGGACUACUGUCUUGUUGCACAAUCCACGUGCGAUUCAGCUUCACCUGAUGAUAAAUGGACUGAUAAUUCUCUUGUAGAGAGGAAAUCAUGCUUCCUUCACUCAUGGCAAGCCUUUCAAGUCCUGAAACCACAAAACAAAGCACAACACUGCCACCACCAUGCUCGGCAAUUGGUAUAAAGUUCUUACGGAAUACAAUAUUUGGUUUCCUCCAGAGAUUCACGGCCAACGUAGACUGAAAACAUCCAUCUUUUGCUCAUCUACCCACAGAGAAUUUAUCCGUAAAUCUGGAGAGUUAUUGGAAUGCUUUUUUCAGAAGACCUGACCUCACUAACAGUGUUAACAUGCCAUGAAUCACAUUUUUACCCAAUGGUUUUCUUUGGGUAGAAUUGUGGAUACUGACUUUUACUGGGCAGUUGAGACCUGCAAACCUUGGAUGUUUUUAUGGAAUUCUUUAUAGCUUCCCAGUUAUAUGCUGCCCCCUUGGGUUGAGUUUGACAAGACAGCUGCUCUUGAGAAAGUUUGAUAUUGGCCCAGUCCUCCUCCAUUUCAAACAUAUAUCCCUUGACCAUGGAUUGAUGGAACCUUAACGCUUUAUAAAUGAUUGGAUGGUCUUAUCCAGACUGAUAGCCAUUGUUGAUUUAUGGAGAUCCUCGGAUUCUUUUGAGCAACAUAUUUACACGCUUGUAGAAUCUAUGAGGCAAGAAUUUCAAUGUAAGGAAGCAAGCUAAAUUUUGCAGACAACAUGGCUGGCUGAUCCCUAAUAUCUUUAAUUGAAUCGAUUAAACCAGGGGGCACCGUUACAUUUCUCACACGACACCUUUGCAUGUCGGACAAGUAUUGUUGAUGAAGUGAAAUGAAGCAAGGGGCAAAUUUUGGAGAAAAUUGUUCACUCAGACUUUUUUUUAUAUCAAUAGGACUGACAAAUAAAUGGAAACAUUCCAAAAUUCAAAUGCUUUUCACAGGUUUCUGCCUCUCUGUCAUGUAUUUCUUGGUUGCUUUUAGAAACAAAGAGCCCUGUGAAGUGAGUUGGACUUAAGAGUGAUUGACUCACAGAUACCCAGUCAUUUCCAUACCUGUUGUGGUCCGUGAGCAGCCUACGGAGCUGGCAACGGAGUCGGACAGCAAUGAGGCUGAGGUGAGGCCAGGGCCAUCGGGAAGUGAGGUGUGGACUCCAGAGCCUCCAGAGACUGAUAGUAGUGAGGCAGAGGAACAGGAGGAGCCUGUUCCUAUUGCACGCAUGAGAAGAGCUGCCAGAAGGCAAGAGUAGCUCAAGCAGAGAGGACAACUCAGGAGUAGGGCCAAGAGAUGAUUGGCCUCUCCCAUAAGGCUUAAAGCAAACCAGCACCAGCAUUUGGCCUUUGCCGGAAAACAACAUUGUAGCUGCGUCUUCUGCUUCGUAUCUGUCUUUGUUUUGUGGCUUCUGGACAUUUGCCAGGAAGGGCCUUUGGCAGUUUGCCUAAUUGGACUAAGGUUUGUGAGAUAACUGAGGAAUUUGUGUUGGGAGGAUUUGUUUUACUUUGAGUUGAAUGACGCUGGGAAUGAAGUAACUCCCAGCUGUCCGAAUAAAGUUUGUUUUUCCACGGACUAAAUUUAUUGCUACCUACUUGGGCCUGGGUCACAACAGGCGUGAAGGAGUGCUAGAACUCAUAGUCUCCCAGUUCCUAGCCUAAUACCUUCAUCACUACACAUCAUUUUCAAAAAAGGCUCAAAUCAAUAUUUGUCUCCAAACUCUUCUCUGCUUUUAAGUAUCACUGCAGGAUUCACACAGUCCUAGGAUUUUUGUAGGAAAUAAAAAUAUUGAAAAUGUCUGCAAAUGUCUUACAAGCAAAUAUAUUUGCUUGUAAGGCAAGAGCUGUACUAGAGACAUGCAGCUCUGCCUGACCAUAAGUAAGGUGUCGUCAUUAUGGUUGUUUCAUCACAACAAUGUUUGGAUAACUCCAGAAGACACUCUUUUAAGUUGUUAAUUUUUAAGUUAUUAAUGAGCCCUGCAUAAAUUAGGCUACUUACCCAGAGCACUUCUGCUUCCCCCAAAAGACAAUGGAAAGCUAUGAAUUGAGAAUACAUAUCCUGAGAGGCCAGAGUUUAUGGUAGGUGCAACUUUAGGUUUUGGUAAAUUGGAAGUUCAUGAUAGGCUUUAUCUGCUCUGAGAAACAUUUUGGGGUUCCAACUAUUUUAUUAGUUUAUCGAAAUAUAAAAUACAAAGAAAAAUGAACAUAGAGCGGAAGUAGGGAAGAAAAAAAGGGAUAAGGAAGAAGUGUAGGGUAAAGGAGAAAAAAGAAAAGCAUUGAAUGACUCUUUUUAGUGCAGUAGAAUAAGAUAAUAACAUGCAGCCUUGACUUUUUACUGUUACAUAAUGAUACAGUAUGUACUAGCCACUUUUAUAGCAACAAAUUCAUCUAAUCAGCAAAACCCAAGGUUAAGGUUGAUUUUCUCCACCUCAAGCACGAAGUCCAGAAUUGGUUUCCAAGUGGAAACAAAGUUAGCUGCAUUCUUUUCUUUGAUUCGGCCAGUUGAUUUAACCAUCUCUGCUAAUUCCUUGUGGGAAUUAUUCUAACUAUUGCUGCUGCAGUGGUGAGAAUGCAGUCUUGCAGGCUAAUUUUUCAUUCCACUGCCUUGAGUUUGAUCCUGACCGGCUCAUGGUUGACUCGGCCUUCCAGCCUUCUGAGAUGGGUAAAAUGAAGACCCAGAUGGUUGGAAGCAAUAUGAUGACUUUGCAAACCGCUUAGAGAGUAUUGUAAAGCACCAUGAAGCAGUAUAUAAGUCUAAGGGCUAUUGCUAUUGGUUUCCAUUUUUGUGCAUAGAGCAUUCUUGCUGCUGUCACUCUGUGAGCCAUUUUGGAAAUAUAAAAUAUGCCUUUUCUUUGCCCAGGGAACACUUUCAGAAUGUCCUAGGUGCUGUUAAUCCCAAAUUUCAGCAUUACUCAAUGACAGUUGUUGGGCAGCAACAGUUGCUUUUGCAUCUGCUUGGCCUCUGUGAAACUGGGAUGAUAAGUAAAAUGAUCCAAAAUAGUCUGGCUAUGAUAAAACGUUGCUUCCAUCCCAGAAUGCCACCGCACUAGCAAACUGGCAUUGCCGUAGGGCAGCAUUUCUCAACCUUGGCAAUUUUAAGACGUGUGGACUUCAACUUUUAAGAGAUUCCCCAGCCAGCGUGCUGUAGGGAUUUUAUAAUAAUCUUUCAAGCUUGGUUAUUAUUAUUAUUAUUUUUUAACUGGAGGUAGGGCUGGAAAUACGCCUGCCUGGAAAAUAGAAGAUUUGCAACCUGUCUGUCUAGCUGGGAUUAUGCAAAAUGAACCAGAUGUUUGGGCAUAAGGAAGCUGUCUCGGUUUCUAAGACGGAUCCGUUUCUUGCCGCAUGAAAUAGGAUUGUGAUGUUUAGUUGCUUCCGGGGUUGCUGUUAUUACUCCAGAGCUCAAGGGAGCUAACAGCCGUAACCCUGUGAGCUCAAAUGGACUGAGGGAGAAUGACCGAAAGCACAGUGACAGCCUUCAGCUGAAGUCAUCUGUGUUUAAGUCAGGCAGUCUAGUUGCUACACAACACUAUACAAAGAGUGAUGAUGAUGAUGAUGGUGGUGAUUUUUUUACAAAAUUUUCAUUUAAUUAUGCAAAUACCAGGGAACCUUAGAUGUCAGGCCUCUCAAAAGACCGAUUACUUAUUCAUUCCUUUCAUAAUAACUGCAGCCUUGGAAUGAAAUUGAUUCUACUUGCAACCAGUUCAGGUAUAAAAGACUGAUCUGUCAGCAAUUCUAUCUCAGUUUCCAUGUCUAUCAAUAUAUGCCAUUACUGGUGAAAGAGGGACAAAAAGUUCUCGGAUUACCCCAAAGAUUGGCAGACCGGUGUCUAUCGCAAAAUGUCUCCGGUACCCCAGCUUCUGUAGAUGUCGUAAUCCUGCCUCUCUUGUCAAUUUGGAAAGGAUUUCCCAUCUAAAAAAGACUGUGGGCAGAUUUCCGCAUGUCAAUUCGAUAAAAUAAAAAUAAAAAUCCCCGCUUCCCCAAAGUGUGUCAUUUCAAUGAAAUCAUAGCUGAAUACUCAAUGAAAUUCAUAAAUUAACAUUCCUUUUCUUAAGAAAAAAGAUUCUGCCCAGGGCAGAGCAUAAUUAAGAUAUAAAAAUUUUCAGAAGUACAUGACACAAACAAAAUUCGAGGGCUGAAAUUUUGUUUGUGUCGUGUACUUAUGAAUAUUUUUAUAUCUUAAUUAUCCACCCUAAUGAGUAUCUUAAUAAGUCCCCCCUAGUGGGACACUUAGGUGCACAAAAAUAUGUUUUCUCACAUGAUAUUCAAGUAUGAAUUUUUUGAAUUAUAGCCUAUUUGACCACAGUAGCUUUGAGUUCUUAUAGGAGGGCUACAUCCAGUGGUGGGAUUCAAAUAAUUUAACAACUGGUUCUCUGUCCUAAUGACCAGCUGGUUGGGCGUGGCCAUGGUGGGCGUGGCCAUGGGGUGUGACAGGCAGCACUCGGCCUCCUGCACCCCCCGGGAGCAAAAAUGGAUUGUGGGCGGAUGCGCCGCUCCCCCGCCCCCCAUUUUGGGCCUAGUAGGCCUCUCUGCAGCCUCCUGGGAAUGAAAACAGGCCAUGGGAUGGUGCAUGGCGCCCCGUUAUGGGCCUAGGAGGCCUCCCUGAAGCUGCACCCCCCACGCCCCGUUUUGGGCCUAGGAGGCCUCCCUGCACUUACCUGGAAGCCAAAAUGGGGCGUGUGGAGACUCCUGGAAAGGGAGGGGCAUGGAGGGGUAGGGCCAGCCAGCAAUUUAACUACCAGUUCUCCUGAACCAGCCUGAACCGGCUGAAUCCUACCACUGGCUACAUCUGGACCGAGGGGUGCAAUUUUCUACACUACAUUACCAUGAUAAACUGCAUCUGCAAGUUCUGUGAACCACAGUGAAGAUUAAACACCAUUUUUAAUUUUUUUAAUAAACUGAUCAAGGAGAGAUUCAACCUAGAAAUAAGGAGAAAUUUUUUGACAGUGAGAAAAAUCAACCAAUGGAACAGCUUGCCUUCACUUGUUGUGGGUGCUCUGUCACUGGAGGCUUUCAAGAAGAGACUGGACAGCCACUUGUCAGAAAUGGUAUAGGGUCUCCUGCUGGAACAGGGGGUUGGACUAGAUGACCUACAAGGUCCCUUCCAACUCUGUUAUUCUGUCUUUUAACUGUGGAAGCAUUUGGCUAGUCACAGAUCUGUGAAAGAAUCCAUAAAACUGCCCCUCCUCCAAGACAUUUUAGUCUAAAUGCAGAUGUUGGGAUGUCACUCAGGAUUAAUACAGGAUCUACAAAGACUAACAAAAGAAAGCAGCACAUCUGAGAAAAGCUUUAAGUUACCGAAACCAAUUUUGAAAUGGGUUCUAGUUUAAAGUUCAGAGAAAUCCCAAUUCUACUACAAUAAAGCUUUAUAAAGAUGUUUUGCCACUGAGUUGAGACAGUUUCAUUUCUUGCUGCAGCAAAUGUGUUUCCUUAUAUUUAGUGCUUUCUAAAGUUUCUGAAGGAUGCUGGCUUGGAGAAGUUUGGAGAAAGCUUUAUCUGACCAAUCAAUAUUUGACUCUAAAGAAUCUUAGAUGUUGUUGGAAAUCUCGCUCCCUGUUCCUCCCUCCACCCCCAUCCUUUAAGGUUUCCAAGGAGCCUGGCCAUGAUGUUGCAGUAUUACUGGAGGGAAUGCGUAAUGAGGGAUACUAAAUUAUUUGCUUUUUAACAUAAAUGAAGAAAUUAACUGCUAUCAUUUAUUGGUAGAAUGUUCUCCAUGCUCCUGCAAAAAAUAGGAAAAAGAAAAAAAGGGGGGGGGAACAGGAAAUCCAUCCUUGCUCUGCUUAUCCUUGCAUAUAGGACCACCUUCAAAGCGCUCUAUGGCUUGGGGCCUGGGUACUUACGGGACCGCCUGUUACCUCAUGCCUCCCACCGUCCCGUACACUCUCACAGAGAGGGACUUCUCAGGGUGCCGUCCGCCAAACAAUGUCGGCUGGUGGCCCCCAAGGGAAGAUCCUUCUCUGUGGGGGCUCCCACUCUUUGGAAUGAACUUCCCCCUGGUUUACGCCAAAUACCUGACCUUCGGACCUUUCGCCGUGAAUUGAAAACAUAUUUGUUUAUUCGCGCGGGGCUAGCUUAAACUUUUUAAACUGUUUAGUUUUUAAAUUUUAAAUUCUAUUUAUGUUUUAAAUUGGGGUUUUUAGAUUUUAAAUAUUUUAAUUUCUCAGCCAAUUGUGUAAUAAGUUUCUUAAUUUAGUUUUUUAAAUUGUAUAUUGUGUAUGUUUUUUAUCCUGGCUGUACCCUGAGUCCUUCGGGAGAAGGGUG